AAGCAUAUAUCCACAUCUACUGUUCGAUAUUAAAUGUGAAUAACUAUCGAAUGAGCAGUUAAUAUUUUUGAAUAUAUAUUGUGAUUUCUGUUACUUAAUUCAUCUAAAAAUUAAUGGCGAAACGAAAGCAUCAGGGACUAAUGGUCGCAGCUCUGUCUUUUUCUGGUUUGGCCCUUUUAUUACAUAUAAUUGGUUUUUCUGUACCAUACUGGUAUAGUCAGGACAUAGGAUCAAUUACUGCUCACAUGGGACUAUGGAAAGGAUGCGUUGGUAUCAGCGGACUACUUGGUACUGUUUGUAAGGACUAUUCCCUGUGGGACUCUGAUCUUGAGUAUUAUCACAGAAUUCCCCAAGGUCUUACUACGAUUGCACUCAUACUGGCGUCCAUAGGAUGUUUUUCAUUGGUUGUAAAAAUAAGUAAAGGUUCAAAACCCGGAUUUGAGAAAGCGUAUUUAGUAGUUACUACCACAUUUGGUAUCGCAGAUGUAUUAAUCGCUAUUGCACUAGUGAUAUGGUCACUGUUCCAGACAGAAGCGGUCAGAAAUAAUAAGGGUUAUGGUAUUUGGUUAGAAAUAUUUGCAGCUGUGCUCUUUUUUCUUUCGGAAAUUAUACUUUAUUUACCAAUCAAUGCACCUGAUCCUGUUGUUUACCCAGCGAUGCCACAAACGGUGUCUUAUAUUACUACACAACAACAAUCUUACCAACGGAACUGGUGAAUACACAAAUGCCGGAUGUUUCUAAAGAAUUAAGAAGAUUUCACCUUUUUAACAAUGCCUGUUUUAUUUUAAUAACUGUUAAUAUAGUUCCUUCUUGAAUUCUAUGAAUUUGUUAUAAUUCAAACACCAAUAAAAUAUAUCUUUGUGGUUUA